AUUCAACUGACGAGUCCCAAAUGGGACGAAACUCACGUUGUGGAU
rfam:Schistosoma mattheei strain Denwood, Zambia genome assembly, scaffold: SMTD_scaffold0009005